UCAUAGGCUGGAUCACAGGGCAAAACCCAAGCUGGAAAAGGACAGAGCAGAAAGCUUUAUGAACAUAGACAAGUUGAACAUCUCUCUCCUGGUGGGGGAGAAAGAACCGGCAGUUGUGUUUAAGGCUAGCCCUUACGGAAAAUGAGCAACUGAACUGAUCCUAGCAAGACUAUGGGACCUCUUUGCAAGGAGUAUUGAUUGCUGAUGGUUCUUUUUAUCCACUGCUCUCCUCUGGCAGAGUUAUGCAUCUGUACCACAUGGCUGAUGCGUGAGGUCACAUUAACUCAUGAACCGUGUUUAAAUGUAAGGGGAGACUCUCGAGUGUCUCGCCUCCUGGUGGAGGCAGGAACAGGUAAGAAGAUGAAAAUGUCCAGGCAGAAAUGGUUUAUUGAUGAACUCUGCACUGCACCUAUCACCUAAGACUUGAAGAACUCUCCAGGUAAAGCGAGGAAAAUGAGUUGUUGUUGUAUCUGCAGAUGAUCUGGCCUAUUCCAGUCUUUUCCUCAGAUGGAUCUAAAUUUGAAAGUCCAGAAGACUGAUAAAGAAGCAGAAGAUUCCUUAACUAUUUACAAUAUGCUGGAUUGCUUCCCUCCUUUUUCUCCUCCAAAGCAGAAUUAGUACAGAAAGUGUCCUAAUAAUAAGGAUAAGAUCACUAAUACUAUUGAUUUAGAAUUAAAAACAUCAGUUGAAGUGGGCUAUUCUUUAAUUUUGCUCUUAUCAAACUCAUUUUAAUGUUAUUAAUAAAAUGGUUAAUUUGUACAAUCAAUGAGUUUAAUGUAUAUUUAAUUUGCCGUAUAUGUUAGCAAUUCUCAGUAUCAGCAUAUUUGUAAUAAUGCUAUUGAUUUUUCUCAAAUGCACCACAAUAAUGUUGGUGUCAUGGUGACGUGAGAGACUCUGUAUGUGCUUUAGCUCUCUAAAUCAUUUAACUUUAGUAAUACUUUGCUACAU